UUACUUAGGAUUUAAAGUCCACUUUACUAACUUGCAAUGCUCUGACCCUAAGAUCGAUGCAACUUAUCUUUCCUAAUGUUGUGCUAGACCUGCCAGAUCUUGUCUCACAGUGCCACCAUAUUUGUGUUCCAAAGAUGGCCCCGCCAGCAAUUCCACAUUGUGCCCCUCUUUGGGUAUGCACGUGUAGUGAUGCACACGCUCAAGGCCUCCAAUGGACCUGAGUUAAGUCUUGUGAUCGUUCCUCUGAUGAUGUCACAUAAUGUUAUUGUCUAUUUGGACUGAAUCCAAAACUUGAGCACUUCACAACAAAAUCCACAUGAGGUGUAAAGGGAAAUGCACAAAUGUAUGUAAGCAAAGUGGCAUUAAUUGC